rnacentral:lncRNA from 1 species
GUGUAUAGUCUAACCCACGAAACCCCCUUCCUCCUUGUCUCGUUUCCCACACACCCACCUUGUUAAUUGAGGAAAGAACAGCAGAGAGAGAGAGAGAACAGACGAUGAGAGAGAGAGAGAGAGAGAGAGAGAGGGAGUAGCAGACGGAAAGAGUUGAGAUGAGAAGGAAAGCCUCAAUGGCGGUGGCGCCGACAACAGCGGCCGCACCGGCGACGGCAGCGACAGCAGAAAAAGACACAUGGAUGAUGACGAUGAGGACUUAUGAUGAUGACCGAUGAUUAUGUUGGUGGUGGUUCUCCGACGAAUCAAUAGUGUCGGCGACGAUGAUACCGGCAACAAUGGUGGAGGUUUGUCUUAGCUCAGUUAGGGUUCCAGUCUUGGUUACGGGUCUCGGUUCAAAAAGGGAAACGGCGGCAGCACCUACGUACACACCCUUGGAGUGAAUUAGAGGAUGUAUCGU